rfam:Acidovorax temperans strain KY4 Contig_72, whole genome shotgun sequence.
CGUUCCCUUGCUGGAGAGAGAUGGCUCGCACAGUGUGUGAUGAAGCCAUCCACCGAAGGAGCAAACCGCACGGCCAGCCAAGGCGCUGCGGUGAAUCUCUCAGGUAAAGCGGACAGCAGGGCAAAU